rfam:Mortierella elongata AG-77 unplaced genomic scaffold K457scaffold_109, whole genome shotgun sequence.
GCCCUCGUGGGAAAAUGGAUAUUCCAUCUCCCUCCUAAGGUGAAAGUUCUAGGUUCGAGUCCUAGCGUGGGCG